GUCAGGGCACUGCCCCACCAGGGCAAGGCCCCAGCUGCCCUACCCCACACACCUGCAUCCCAAAACGUCUCCUGGCAUCAAUCUUUCCAGUGUCUGACACAAGGGCAGCAUGAAGGAGGAGGAGGAGAGAGGAGGGUCUCCCUUUUGGGCAUGGCCCAAGCCCUGUGGCACAGGGGGCAAUGCUCACCUCCUUGGCUGGGCCCGGAGUGACGAACGUGCGCCGACUGCUGUGGGUGAAGGCUAUCCCAUUGACCUACAACUGGCACAAGACGUGCUGAUGCUGUAAUUAGUAAAUACCCUCUGCAAGUGACAGCAAAAGAUUUAUAGCCACCGUUGGAGGCUUCACUUUCAGCAAAAGGAGAAGCACCAAAGUGUUUGUUGCUGUUUACUGCAUUUUUAUGCAGAUUCCCAGCAGGGUCCAGCCAGCAUUUUGUGCUGCAGGCCUGGUAAAUAAAUCUUUACUGACCUGUUGUGGCAGAAGCCACGUAUGAAUGUG